rnacentral:lncRNA from 1 species
UUAAGAUAAAGGAACACUAACAUUGUUCCUGUCAUAUAAUUAUCUAAAGAAAAUACAACAACGUCCAUUUCAUCCCAGAGUCACACAAAAGAAAUAAGGAUGCUAACCCUAAGCCAUAUAAAAGGAUUGGACAUGCUAAUUCCUUAAUUCAUACAAAAGAACUAGACACCUAGGACACUACUCCUGACAGGAAUGACAAAGACCUGCAACAUCAAAAUAAAGGAAUAAUUAUAUUAAAUAAAUGAAAUACAACCAGAUAAUGGAGGGUCACCACUACAUGUAACUACGCAUAUGUGUACUAACUCGAUAGGGCAUAAUCAUAAUUGAUCCGCAAAAGAAGAUCCUUUACUACAUCUAACGCCUAUCCUUCCACAACCUACUUAUGGUUUCCUUUUCGAUUAUCAUACAUUAAUUUUUGUCUGAUUUACCCUUUUUCUUAUCCGCCCCAAAUUCUGAGGCAAUCGCUGCCGACACUAAUAACUCCUACUAGUGUCAUUAGUCACCCUUACCCGGAUAGACUAAUCAAUUCCUAGCAAUGCCGGCACCAACUUAAUCGAUCGAUGCCAUUGAGCUAUUUCCAACCCAAAAUAGUCAAUCAAUUGCUCUCCAUCACUUGGAGAUGUUUCCGGAAAUGCCGAUGCCAAGUUCUCUUGACAUCAUUAACUUCCUCCUCAGGAAGUUAAUCAAGUUAUAAUGGGUUUGCCGAUACAGACAUUAUUUGUUAGUAUCAUUAACUACUCGUGAUACGAAUAGUUAAUCAAGCUCAAUAUUCAUUAUAUUUCCAUCAAGGUCAUGCCGAUGUUAACAAUAUUUGUUAACAUCAUUAGCCGCCCCUAUUCUAGGUCGGCUAAUCAAGUCCAUAGGCGGCCGUUUUUCUUUUUCACAUAUACAUAAUAUAGACCCAUAUCCGAACUCCGCAUCUCGGAGUCUACGACCAAAAUUCAGAUUUCAAAUCCAUGUUUGUUUCACCGUAUCUUUCCUUUUUUUUUAGUCAUAUUCACCGGGUGGGCAUAUUCAUAUAAUAAUAUUAUUUCUCGUGCUUGCAGGCAACAUUCACAUAGAAUUAGUAUUUGUUUCCUUGUCCGUAGGCAACAUUCACAUUGUAAUAACAUUUCUUGCUCAUUGGCAAUGUUCACACAAUAAUAAUAUUUCUCCUGCUUGUUGGUAACUUUCACGCAACAAUAUUUGUACUGCCCGUAGGCAGUGUUCACAUAGCAAUAUUUCUCAUGAUACACAUUAGUACAAAAUACACAUAAUGUCUAUCAUAUAACUAGCAUUACAAGAAUUUAAACAAUUUAAAGAAGCAAGGGGGCAACCCUUACCUUGAACUCCUGUUGUACUUGCACGUGAGAAAUCCGGUCCCACUCUGUAUGCUUCUCCUACAUUCCAGUAGAACAUCCUGAAUUAGUACUCAGACCCCUUUUCUGAUUCAUUCAUCACAUGUAUUAUUUCACAUGCCCAAUUAGUUUUGAAAACAAGUUCAUGAAUAAGCUAUUUUUAGUCAUCACUUUAAUUCAUUAAAUCAACAUCCAUUCUCACUAAUAUUAAAUGUCCAACCAACUCUUUCUUCUACCUUGGCCGAAUAUAGACCUAUUUCUCAAUAAAUCCUUUUGUGUUUAUAUUCAAGAUAACAUUAUCAAUUCUCAUCUAUAUUGGCAUGAUAUAAUAUAUUCCACAUAUUUCAAGUCAAAUAGUAUUACCACACAUAUUACAUGUCUAUCAAAAUGAUCAAGAUUAUUAUUAUUAUUAUUAUUUUGCUAGAACUAUUCAUUAAGCACAACAACUAGAUGAAAUAACUUUCUUCCUUGAUAUGGCUACUUGCUAACAAUUCUUGGUCAAAACUUCCUAAACACUCAUGUUAAAUUUUCUUUUACUCAAUACCAAGCAUUGCUGAGCAUGUCAAAUGCCUUAAACCAUAACCCUUCCCAUGUUGUUUUCUUUUUGCCGAACAUGCUUAAAUGAAUUAUAAUGAAUUUUUCUUCAAUUCCUUUCAUUACCACUCUAAAGCAACAUUACCUCACCUAAACAUUUUCAUAUGGAUAUGAUCAUUAAUAAUUGUCUAUCUAGAGAUGUUCACAUUACAUAUAUAAUUUUAUUUGUGCCUCUUGCACAUUUUCUUCUUUCAAACUAAUACAUAUACCCACAAGUAUAUUCUUAUGGUUUCUUACUCCUUUCAUUGAACAAUGUAUAUUAAGAUGAUAUCAAUACUUCCUUUAAAAUAUUGUCACUAAAUGUUUAUUUCUAUUCUUCAUACAAGGUUAUUCAAAGUAAUCAUUUCUAUUUUUCAAGCAACAUUCACCAAACCAGAAUUUCUGCCUUGAAUUUCUUCUCUUGGCCGAAACUUGUGCUCCAUGUCCUCAUUAGUUCAUUCAUUUAAAUCACAUCAUUUUCUUCAUUUAUAAUGUAUGUUAUCAUACAUAAAACAUAUACCAAUCUCUCAAACAAGAAAUUAUAAGGGAUUCAACAUUUAUUCAUACAAUUUCAAAGAACAUCCACACUUUUAACCUCUGUUCCAGCCCUGUUUUCCUUAAAUAUUUGUUCAAGAUCAUGAAUCAUUGAUAUAUAUCUUCAAUUUUCUCCUCCCCCCUUCAAGUCCCCUUAUGGCCGGCCCUAAUCUAGGGUUUUCUCCUUAGUUUACAUGAAGUUUUUCUUACUAUACAUUCUUUGAAAUUUGUUCUUUCCUUUAUAAAAUUUAUUGUUCACAAUAUUAGUUUUCAAAACAUUAAUAUGCACAAAAAUCCUAAGUUUUCAUUUGGGUUGUUCACCCUUUUCAACAAAGCUCACUCAAGACAACAAUGGAGAUUGAAGGGUUUUUCUUACCAUAUGAAUUAAGCAAGGAUUAAGGAUGAUUUUUUUUUUGACAACUCUAUACGUGUUCUUCUUGUUCUCUUCCUUGGUUGAUUCUUCUCCCCCUCUUUCUGCCUUUAGCCGUGAAUCUCUCUCUCUCUCUUUCUACAUCUCUAUUUUGUGGUCUUUCUCCUCACUUUCACUCUUCAUUCACUCUAGCACCGUAUGGAUGAAAUGCAAGAGAACACUUUGCUGGAUAUUUUGUAAGAGAGGGGGCUGCUAGGGGCUGUCUUGGCC